rnacentral:lncRNA from 1 species
CGGUUCUCGACCAAAUUGUCUGAGCGGUUCGGAUUCUUCGAAACAACGGUAUAAAAAAUUUUGGUUAGAGUUUUUAUACUUCUCUAAUUUGGUCUUCUCGGUUUUACGAAAAUCUUUUUUAGUAUUUUUUUAGAGUUUUCGUCGGAACAAGAGAAAGGUGGGAUUCCUCAUAAGGUUCCUGGUUUUUAACCGGAGAAGACAUAAGGUGUAAGCUUGUACUUCUUUUUCUUCAUAUAGUGGAAUACAUCUCUCUCGCUCUCCGCUCUCCCCGUGGACGUAGGCAAUUGUCGAACCACGUAAAUCUUGAUUUUUUUUUCUUUUUUUUUUAUCGUUUGUUCGAUUUUCUCUAUUUUUUUCGUGCAUUUUUGUUGAUAGAGCACGACGGACGAUUCAUCCUGUUUCCAACAAAAAGGUUGUUGAAUAGGACGAAAAC